CUCACGGGUAUGUGUUAGAAGAGAUGGAAACAGGACUGACUCACAGAUAACUAUAGAAAAAUAAGUAAAGAGAGGUAGAGAAGCUUCUAGUUCAGAUUUAUUUGCCCCUUUCAUGCCUUGGUCUUGAGGUAAGGCAUUUUGUUAGAUAGGAGAAGCAGAUGUAGAAAUCUUGCUUUGGAUUCCUUUUUCGUGCUCUUGAGGGGAACCACUUCUAUGCAGAAAUAACUCCUAGGCAUGCAUCAUCCAGCCUAGUGUAGAAGGUGCAGAGGGACACGUGGAGGAAGAGUGGGCCAGGCCCUAGUGGCAUGGCACAGACUUGGCCAAGAUUAUUACAGCAAACUUCAGGUACUUUGAUACUUCUUCUCAGGUCAAGGGCUCCAGGAAUAGAAGAGAGUCUGAAGCUAGAGAAAUUCUUAAGGAAUAGCUGAGUCUUCAAGGGUAUAGGCCAAUGAUCUCCAAGAGUUCUACCUGAGCCCCCAAAGCAAAACUGUAUUUAACAGCUACAUUGCUGCUCUCAACAGAGAGAAAUGGGACAUUGCCUUGGAAGCUAGGGAGAGUCAAAAAUACACUUUCCUCAGGUCCUACACUCGGAGUUCACAAGGAGCCCACAUGCUCCCACAUGUGCACUCAGACACACCUAUGGAAAGGGCACGGAAGGUGGAUGGAAGGCAGAAAAGUCUGAGGCUGAAGAUGUUACCGGAGCCCAAGUUCGACUGCCUGUUACUCGAAAUGCCAAGUCGCAAGAGAUGAGUGUUGACUCGAGUAUGAGCUUUAUUCAGGAGGCCAGCCCCCUGGGGAGAAGAAUCAUGAAUGAAGCAGAACUGAAUUUGCAAAAAAAUAUUGUAAGAGAGGCAUGGAUUCUGAAUAUGGGGAAAAAUCAGAGACUGGGAUCAUAUUCAGAUUCUAGGAACAAAAGAGAUAAAGCGAGCAAGCACCAACAGGCCCAGAGUGUAGGCAGAGGGAGAGGGAGAAGCUGAGAGCCCAACACGGUCAACCCAGGACUCUGGGACCACGACCUGAGCCGAAGGCAGGCACUCGACCACUCAGCCACCAGUAACUGAACAUCGAGAAGAGUUUUCUCACCUUGCAAGUCCAGCCCUUUCAGCAUCCCGGAAGAAAAAUGGAGGCUCAAGAGACACCGGAGGACUAUUCAAAUUAGCAUUACAAUCGACGGGAGAUUUAUCUAAGUCAUCACCUAGAAAGAUAUCUCCUCCUUUCAAAGUUAAUUUAUGAGCACACGAAAAGCUAAUCUUAGAUUUCUUAUUAUUUAAUGCAUCUUUACACACUUAGCUCCCCUCCUGUGAACAGAAGAUAUUACUUUUGAAUGAAAUUCUAUGGAAUUAUCCUUAACUAUCCUAAUAGCAGAACAGCUGUGCAUGAUUAAUGUUAUUAUAAUAAAUACUAUGAGAAUUUGUAAUAAAUUGUCAACUGCCAUUAUCUGCUACCAAAAUAAUUCAUCACUUUUUAAUUUCUUAAUUCAUAAUUACCAACCUAAUUAAUCCAUUUUAAGAUUACUCAAUUCAUUAGACAAUUUGAUUUGGUUCAUUGGCCAGGCCCCAGUAUGUAUGUAAAAACUAUACUUUAAGUCUGUUAAUCAGCUGCCCUCUAUUGGAACAAUGUGCUGAUGAUUUAAUAUGUUAUUCAUGUGAAUAUUUUAUGUAUAUUCAUGUGAACUUUAAUUAACCUUAUUGAG